AGGAGCUGAUCAUGGACUUUAGGAGGGCACAUCAUCCGAGGACGUACACUCCAUUGAGGAUAAAUGGGGAUCCUGUGGAUAGGGUGAACUGUUUUAAAUAUCUGGGAGUCCACAUCUCCGAGGAUAUGACAUGGGCAUCACACGCCUCAGCACUCGUGAGUAAGGCAAGGCAGCGUCUUUACCACCUCAGGCAAUUGAGGAAAUUCAGAGUGUCUCCGAGGAUCCUCCAGUGCUUCUACGCAGCGGCGGUGGAAAGCAUCUUGUCCGGGAACAUUACCAUCUGGUUUGGGAAUUGCUCUGCCAAGGACAAGAAGGCUCUGCAGAGAGUAGUGCGUUCGGCCGAACGCACUAUGGGAACUUCACUCGCCCCCCUGCAGGAACUAUACAACAGGAGGUGCAACUCCAGAGCAAAUAAAAUCAUGGGAGACCCCUUCCACCCCUGCAACGGACUGUUCCAGCUGCUAUGGUCAGGCAAACGCCUCCGUUGCCAUGCGGUGAGAACGGAGAGGUUGAGAAGGAGUUUCUUCCCAGAGGCAAUUCAGACUGUAAACGCCUAUCUCACCAGGGACUAACUCUACUGAACGUUUUUCCUUCCAUUAUUUAUUAUGUAAAAGAAUAUGUGUGAUAUGAUUGUGUUUAUAAUUUGUUUGGUUGUUUUGUUGUUUGUCUUUUGCACAAAUGUCCGCGAGCAUUGCCACUUUCAUUUCACUGCACAUCUCGUAUAUGUAUAUGUGACAAAUAAACUUGACUUGACUUGACUUGACUUGACUUGACAUAGGUUCAGCUGGCAGCAAUACAUUCUGAAUCCACUUCACCAUCCAGUAUUUCUAUUCUCUUAUCACAUUGACAGCCAGUACAUUUCAAGUUCAAGUAACCCAACCCAGGAUUGAUUGGCGAUGAUUCAUGGCUUUUCCCAAAUGCCACGUUGCAGGUUGAGCCAACUUUGUGGUCAGAUGGUUCUCAGGCACAUAAAAGGCCCAAUUCACACAGCAUACAUCACCUCGAGUCUGACUAUUCACCGCGAACAUGUCGUGCCUUUGUCUCCUCCUGGUCAUUCUCAUUGCAGCCACCGCCCUCGAUUCUUAUCCAAUUGUGUACGGAGGUAACCCUGGCGAAUAUGGUCAUUACCACGGACCGCCGCCACCUCCGCAUUGAGGGUCAAGGAUGUCCCGCUGGGCCAUUUUCGUGCGGCCGCCGGAUAGUCUUCAGAACGCACGCAAUAUAACAAACCCUUAGCCGGACCAAGUGUAUUUGCAAACUCCAUUUUAAGUUCUCUUUUAUAGUCUCCUUUCGGGAUGGAGAGGUUACUAUUAAAUUGUCCAUUAAAUUCUUCAGCAUGUUAAAAUGUUGUCAUGUCUGAAUACUUUAUUUUUCCACUCUUUCUUGGUCAAUUAUGCAGUGUGUAACGCAUGGACUCGUUCCACGGCAUGAAGUCACAGAGCUUUGAAAUCUUCACGUAGUCACUCACGUGACUCCGAAGUAAAAUAGUAAGAUUAAACGAGAACUUAUCAGUUUGCGACAGCGAUUCUCAGCUGAUAGAGUUUUGACAAACAGCAAAUUUCUCUCUCCAUCCCAUUUUGUAUUAAGAAAUACAGCAUUGAAACGGACCCUUCGGCCCACCGAGCUCAUGCUGACCAUCGAUCACCUGGUGUGCAUUAUUGUUCUGCAUUAUGCCGCUUUCGCAUCCACUCCCUACACACUUGGGGCAAAUUACAGAGGCCAAUGAACCUACAAACCUGCACGCCUUUAGGGUGUGGGAGGAAACCUGAGCACCCGGACACUACACCUCAAAUAUCCUAUAGCAAGCAAGAUAGACCACUCCUUCUAAAUGCAAUGGGCUGAUGUGUAGUACGCAACGGAGCGGAACGUGGGCCUUUUUUUCCAUCUAUUUCAGUAACCCGACCCGACCCGAUCUAACCCGAUUCGCAGUGUAAUCAGCAUUGCGGGGGAACAGUUUGUGUUAAUAAAUUAUAAUUCUGAA